rnacentral:rRNA from 1 species
GAUGAACGCUGGCGGCGUGCCUAAUACAUGCAAGUCGAGCGAACGGACGAGAAGCUUGCUUUUCUGAUGUUAGCGGCGGACGGGUGAGUAACACGUGGAUAACCUACCUAUAAGACUGGGAUAACUUCGGGAAACCGGAGCUAAUACCGGAUAAUAUUUUGAACCGCAUGGUUCAAAAGUGAAAGACGGUCUUGCUGUCACUUAUAGAUGGAUCCGCGCUGCAUUAGCUAGUUGGUAAGGUAACGGCUUACCAAGGCAACGAUGCAUAGCCGACCUGAGAGGGUGAUAGGCCACACUGGGACUGAGACAAGGUCCAGACUCCUACGGGAGGCAGCAGUAGGGAAUCUUCCGCAAUGGGCGAAAGCCUGACGGAGCAACGCCGCGUGAGUGAUGAAGGUCUUCGGAUCGUAAAACUCUGUUAUUAGGGAAGAACAUAUGUGUAAGUAACUGUGCACAUCUUGACGGUACCUAAUCAGAAAGCCACGGCUAACUACGUG